rnacentral:rRNA from 1 species
UAGGGAAUCUUCCGCAAUGGGCGAAAGCCUGACGGAGCAACGCCGCGUGAGUGAUGAAGGUCUUCGGAUCGUAAAACUCUGUUAUUAGGGAAGAACAAAUGUGUAAGUAACUAUGCACGUCUUGACGGUACCUAAUCAGAAAGCCACGGCUAACUACGUGCCAGCAGCCGCGGUAAUACGUAGGUGGCAAGCGUUAUCCGGAAUUAUUGGGCGUAAAGCGCGCGUAGGCGUUUUUUUAAGUCUGAUGUGAAAGCCCACGGCUCAACCGUGGAGGGUCAUUGGAAACUGGAAAACUUGAGUGCAGAAGAGGAAAGUGGAAUUCCAUGUGUAGCGGUGAAAUGCGCAGAGAUAUGGAGGAACACCAGUGGCGAAGGCGACUUUCUGGUCUGUAACUGACGCUGAUGUGCGAAAGCGUGGGGAUCAAACAGG